UACGGAGGGUGCAAGCGUUAAUCGGAAUUACUGGGCGUAAAGCGCACGCAGGCGGUUUGUUAAGUCAGAUGUGAAAUCCCCGGGCUCAACCUGGGAACUGCAUUUGAAACUGGCAAGCUAGAGUCUCGUAGAGGGGGGUAGAAUUCCAGGUGUGGCGGUGAAAUGCGUAGAGAUCUGGAGGAAUACCGGUGGCGAAGGCGGCCCCCCUGAACGAAGACUGGCGCUCAGGUGCGAAAGCGUGGAGAGCAAACAGG
rnacentral:rRNA from 1 species